rnacentral:rRNA from 1 species
GCCCAGAAUAGAAUCUUAGUUCAACUUUAAACUUACCUCAAAAACCCAUAAUUCCAAUGUAAGUUUAAAAUAUAGUCUAAAAAGGUACAGCUUUUUAGAAUUAGGAUACAGCCUUUAUUAGAGAGUAAGCAUUAACCACAAACCAUAGUUGGCUUAAGAGCAGCCAUCAAUUAAGAAAGCGUUCAAGCUCAACAACCAGAACAUCUUAAUGUCAAAAAACACAACCAACUCCUAAUUUAAAACUGGGCUAAUCUAUUUAACAAUAGAAGCAAUAAUGCUAAUAUGAGUAACAAGAAAUAUUUCUCCCUGCAUAAGCUUAUAUCAGAACGGAUAACCACUGAUAGUUAACAACAAGAUAUGUACAAUCUAACUAUAAACAAAAUAUCAAACUAAUUGUUAACCCAACACAGGCAUGCAAACUUAGGGAAAGAUUAAAAGAAGUAAAAGGAACUCGGCAAACACAAGCCCCGCCUGUUUACCAAAAACAUCACCUCUAGCAUUUCUAGUAUUAGAGGCACUGCCUGCCCAGUGACACUAGUUAAACGGCCGCGGUAUCCUGACCGUGCAAAGGUAGCAUAAUCAUUUGUUCCCUAAAUAGGGACUUGUAUGAAUGGCCACACGAGGGCUUUACUGUCUCUUACUUCCAAUCCGUGAAAUUGACCUUCCCGUGAAGAGGCGGGAAUAUAACAAUAAGACGAGAAGACCCUGUGGAGCUUUAAUUAACCGGCCCAAAGAGACCCCAUUAUCUAACCGACAGGAACAACAAACCUCUGCUAUGGGCCGACAAUUUAGGUUGGGGUGACCUCGGAGAAUAGAACAACCUCCGAGUGAUUUAAAUCAAGACUAACCAGUCAAAAGUAUUACAUCACUUAUUGAUCCAAAAACUUGAUCAACGGAACAAGUUACCCCAGGGAUAACAGCGCAAUCCUAUUUUAGAGUCCAUAUCGACAAUAGGGUUUACGACCUCGAUGUUGGAUCAGGACAUCCCGAUGGUGCAGCAGCUAUCAAAGGUUCGUUUGUUCAACGAUUAAAG